rnacentral:rRNA from 1 species
AGCAAUCUGCCUUGGAGUGGGGAAUAACGGCUGGAAACAGCCGCUAAUACCGCAUGAUACAGCUGGGAGGCAUCUCCCUGGCUGUCAAAGAUUUAUCGCUCUGAGAUGAGCUCGCGUCUGAUUAGCUAGUUGGCGGGGUAACGGCCCACCAAGGCGACGAUCAGUAGCCGGACUGAGAGGUUGGCCGGCCACAUUGGGACUGAGACACGGCCCAGACUCCUACGGAAGGCAGCAG